GGAAGCAUGGGGUAGUCAGGUAUCCUAGAGGGCUCCAGUGACCCUUAGAUCUGGGUUCAAAUCCCAGUGCUUCCA
rnacentral:tRNA from 1 species